rnacentral:lncRNA from 1 species
CAAAAUAAAGAGAACAGCUAGGGGUAUAACUUACGAUUAAUCAGAGGAUUACAGUCAUCCAGAGUGGUGUAAUUAAAACUCUUAACCACAAUAAAGUAUUUCAAAAUAAUCUAAUAAGCGUCUCCAAAUAACAUAAAAAUAACUAAAUGAAAUCCUAAAAAGAACUAAGUCGCAGCGUCAGCGUCUCCCAGCACUUGUUCCACUGGAACCUCCUCAAGAACAUCUGCUCCCAUCUAAGUGGAUGAUCAUCGCAAGAGAAACAUACCCAAGCAACAUACACACAAAAGUAAGGGUGAGCUAGAUGAACAAACAAUAUACAUAUAGUCCAGUUAAUCAAUGUCAUCAUGCUUAAUUACAUAUAAAAGAACAAGCAAGGCAUACCAAUCAAACCAAACAUCAAAUACUCAACGUGACUCAUCCGAAUUUUUGUAUAACUAUCUAGCUAUUGGUCGUCUUUGCACUUGCAUAGUUCAGCUGGCCCAUCCCCAACACUAUGCAAGGUAAAUCCCCCAAUCUGUCUAUGUCUAAACUCCAAGAUUAUAGACGAUGACCUCCCUCUACUCUCACCACUCACAUUGUUCUUCUCUAUUUGAGCAUGAACAAUGCUUUGAGUGUAGGGAUAAACAUACCAUUUCAAAGCUCCCAACAUUAUACAGACAACAACAACAUCUCUACAAUCACAUCCACUCAUCUCACCCUGAGAUGUUCAAUUCACACUCAAGUUCAUCAAUUCACAGUCAUGUUAUUUCAAGCAACACAAGUCACCUAGAUAGACAUACAUACAUGACAUUCUGUAGAGCAAACAACGUUAAUCAAUCGAUAUACCUUAACUAACCAAUCACAAAUCACCAAAUUAUAACAUCUCUCGCAAUAAGAUACACAUUGCUCAAUAAUAUGCGUUGCUCAUAAAUCACAAGGCUAUAUAGCACAAUUCAAUACAUUCCACACUAAAUCUCAAUAAUAAACAUUAUCUCGUCAAAGACAAAGUUUUACUACACUAUAUAAAAUAUUACGACUUAAAGUAAAUUCCCCAAAACAUAUAAAAUUAUUACGACUUUAAACUACAACUACAAUACUUAUAAAUAUUAAACUUUAUUAUUUAUUCUCUAUACAUGGUAAUUCCUCGUGUUAAAUUAUAAAAAUAUUUAUACCAACUCUUAACUUAUAUGAAUAUAUUGAGAAACAAAACAACGUGUAUGCUAGUUAAAAAUUUAAUCUGACAUCAAACUUAAUAGUUUUAAUAUUUAUAAUAUAAUAUAAUAUUAAAUAUAAUUUAUCCGGUCAAGUUUUCAUAUAUAUCCGUUAUAUAUUUAUAUAAAAGUUAUAUAUUAUUUUAUAAAGUAUGAGAAUCAUAAGAACAAAUAUUCAUUUGAUAAAAUACAAAUAUAAUAUACUAUUUGUAAAUCUUCAUUUUUCCUAAGUGCAUCAGAGUACAACAGCUGGAAAUUACUCUCCUACAUGAUUCUUAACUCAUAUUCUCUUUCUUUCUUUAUUUAUUUUAAUCAUGGCCCACUUCUUUCUAUCAUUCCCUGUACCUUAUUUUUUUUCUACUCCACCAACCACUUUUACGUAACCCCAUAACCUUUUGAAAAGCUAUUUUGUGGUUAACCAUUAUUCAUCCUUUCUCUUUUUUUUUUGUCUACAACUAUAACCAAAAACCCAUUUACCAUUUCAGGAAAAAUUAUAACUAUGCUAAACCCGUCGCAUUCUUGUAACAUUUUCUGCACUCACUCAAGAUAUAAAUAUUGUAUACUACCCAUCACAAUUUCCUUUGGAACAUAAAGGUUCAAAAAAAAAAAAGAAAAAAAAGAAACGACUAUUAAUCCUUAUUCAUUCUUUUUAUUAUGGUCAUUCUCGUAAUAUAAUUGUUGUACCAAAAGAUUAAACCCCAACCAAAACUUGUUACACAAAAAUAAACCUCACUAACUAUAUCCAUUCCAUCCUAUCAUCAUUGACCAUGAAGACCAUAUUCACCCAAAAAAAAACUAUUACAGAGGCUUAAAUCCAAACCCAGCAUCUCAAUUGCGCAAUCCAAUUAGUACCAAACCAAAUAAGUAAAAGAGUAAAAAUUGCAUUCCAAACAACACAUUAUUUUCAACUUCAACAGUCAAACAUAUACUAAAACAUAUUUAAUCCAAAAGUAACUAGCUCCCCAUAUCUGGAAAACUUCACAGUUUACUUGACAGGGACACUCUAAACAGCGCUACUCACAGCAAAUUUCAAAAACACCCUAUAAAUCACACAAUGGUGAUAGAAUUAGCUUUUUAGGCUAGAAAUUACCACAAAUUUGAAGUAGAACGCUUCUAAUGGCAUGCAUUCAGUAAAAUAGCAAUGUCCUAGGUUCUAGAAACAACGGAGAAAAGGGGAAAACUACUUACCGGUGAAGAUCGAAAAUCUAAUUGGAUGUUUGCGAAGCUCUCUACGCCGCGGUCACUUGAGCACCACCUAAUCCAACAUGCAAUAGCUCAGUGAGUGAGGAGGUUAGAGAAAAGGCAGAGAAAGUAAGGGUUUGGAGUUCUA